rnacentral:rRNA from 1 species
AUUGAACGCUGGCGGCAUGCCUUACACAUGCAAGUCGAACGGCAUCGCGGGAAAGCUUGCUUUCCUGGCGGCGAGUGGCGAACGGGUGAGUAACACAUCGGAACGUACCGGCUAGUGGGGGAUAACCCGUCGAAAGACGGGCUAAUACCGCAUACGCUCUUCGGAGGAAAGCAGGGGACCUUUGGGCCUUGCGCUAGCCGAGCGGCCGAUGUCCGAUUAGCUAGUUGGUGGGGUAAAGGCCUUCCAAGGCGACGAUCGGUAGCGGGUCUGAGAGGACGAUCCGCCACACUGGGACUGAGACACGGCCCAGACUCCUACGGGAGGCAGCAGUGGGGAAUCUUGGACAAUGGGGGCAACCCUGAUCCAGCAAUGCCGCGUGGGUGAAGAAGGCCUUCGGGUUGUAAAGCCCUUUCGGCAGGGAAGAAAUCGGCGGGGCGAAUAACCCUGCUGGAUGACGGUACCUGCAGAAGAAGCACCGGCUAACUACGUG